AUGGCAUUCAACACCGGAUUGAGAUCAUUAUCUUCCAAAUUGAUUGCUUCUGUCUAUUCUUCUCUCGCUAAAUCUGUCAUAUUAAGAGAGAUGAUCCCUCUCACAUCAACACAAAUGCUCUGGUCAAGUGAAAAUUGGACAAUGGGUUCAAAAAAUGGCUGCCUACCAG